GCUCAGGAUGAACGCUAGCGGCAGGCCUAACACAUGCAAGUCGAGGGGUAACAGGGAGUGCUUGCACUUUGCUGACGACCGGCGCACGGGUGCGUAACGCGUAUACAAUCUGCCCUAUACUGGGGGAUAGCCUUUGGAAACGAAGAUUAAUACCCCAUAGUAUGUAUUAUUCGCAUGUUUAAUACAUUAAAGGUUACGGUAUAGGAUGAGUAUGCGUCCCAUUAGCUAGUAGGUAAGGUAACGGCUUACCUAGGCAACGAUGGGUAGGGGCCCUGAGAGGGGGAUCCCCCACACUGGUACUGAGACACGGACCAGACUCCUACGGGAGGCAGCAGUGAGGAAUAUUGGACAAUGGGCGCGAGCCUGAUCCAGCCAUGCCGCGUGCAGGAAGACUGCCCUAUGGGUUGUAAACUGCUUUUUUACGGGAAGAAACCGCUCCACGUGUGGAGCUCUGACGGUACCGUAGGAAUAAGCAUCGGCUAACUCCGUGCCAGCAGCCGCGGUAAUACGGAGGAUGCAAGCGUUAUCCGGAAUCAUUGGGUUUAAAGGGUCCGCAGGCGGGCGAUUAAGUCAGAGGUGAAAUUUUGCAGCUCAACUGUAACACUGCCUUUGAUACUGGUCGUCUUGAAUGGCUCUGAAGUGGUUGGAAUGAGCGGUGUAGCGGUGAAAUGCAUAGAUAUCGCUCAGAACACCUAUUGCGAAGGCAGGUCACUAAGGGUGUAUUGACGCUGAGGGACAAAAGCGUGGGGAGCGAACGGGAUUAUAUACCCCGGUAGUCCACGCCGUAACGAUGGAUACUAGCUGUUGGAUUUUCGAAUUCCAUGGCCAGCGAAAGUGAUAAGUAUCCCAUCUUGGGAGUACGUUCCACAUUAAACUCAAU
rnacentral:rRNA from 1 species